GACGAACGCUGGCGGCGUGCUUAACACAUGCAAGUCGAACGGAAAGGCUCCAGCUUGCUGGAGUACUCGAGUGGCGAACGGGUGAGUAACAAGUGGGUAAUCUGCCCUGCACUCUGGGAUAAGCCUGGGAAACUGGGUCUAAUACUGGAUAUGACCUUUCUCCUUAUGGGGUUUGGUGGAAAGUUUUUCGGUGUAGGAUGAGCCCGCGGCCUAUCAGCUUGUUGGUGGGGUGAUGGCCUACCAAGGCGACGACGGGUAGCCGGCCUGAGAGGGUGAUCGGCCACAUUGGGACUGAGAUACGGCCCAGACUCCUACGGGAGGCAGCAGUGGGGAAUAUUGCACAAUGGGCGGAAGCCUGAUGCAGCGACGCCGCGUGAGGGAUGACGGCCUUCGGGUUGUAAACCUCUUUCAGCAGGGACGAAGCGUAAGUGACGGUACCUGCAGAAGAAGCACCGGCUAACUAUGUG
rnacentral:rRNA from 1 species